rnacentral:rRNA from 1 species
UACAGGGGGGGCAAGCGUUAAUCGGAAUUACUGGGCGUAAAGCGUGCGCAGGCGGUUGUGCAAGACAGAUGUGAAAUCCCCGGGCUUAACCUGGGAACUGCAUUUGUGACUGCACAGCUGGAGUGCGGCAGAGGGGGAUGGAAUUCCGCGUGUAGCAGUGAAAUGCGUAGAUAUGCGGAGGAACACCGAUGGCGAAGGCAAUCCCCUGGGCCUGCACUGACGCUCAUGCACGAAAGCGUGGGGAGCAAACAGG